rnacentral:rRNA from 1 species
GGUCAAGUUAUUAAGGGUGCAGGGCGGAUGCCUUGGCACUAGGAGCCGAUGAAGGACGUGAUAAGCUGCGAUAAGCUUCGGGGAGUUGCACGUAAACUUUGAUCCGAAGAUUUCCGAAUGAGGAAACUCACUUAGAGUAAUGUCUAAGUAUCAUUAAGUGAAUACAUAGCUUAAUGAGGGGAACUCAGGGAACUGAAACAUCUAAGUACCUGAAGGAAGAGAAAGAAAUUCGAUUCCGUAAGUAGCGGCGAGCGAACGCGGAUUAGCCCAAACCAAUAAAGUUUUCUUUAUUGGGGUUGCGGACAUAUCAUAACGAAGAGGUAUCGUAAUUGAAGAGGUUUGGAAAGACCCACCACAGAAGGUAAUAGUCCUGUAUGUUAAACGAGAAGACUUUAGAUAUGAUCCAGAGUACCACGGGACACGUGAAACCCUGUGGGAAGCAGGAGGGACCACCCUCCAAGGCUAAAUACUACCUAGUGACCGAUAGCGUAUAGUACCGUGAGGGAAAGGUGAAAAGAACCCCGGGAGGGGAGUGAAAUAGAACCUGAAACCCUG